rnacentral:pre_miRNA from 9 species
UUUCGAUAGCGUUAAAGUUAACUGAAAUUUGUAUGGAGUUGGAUCGUUUGCCUACGUUUGCCGCUAGGGGCGCUGUUCCAACUUUAUACAAAUUUGAGAUAACUUUUACGCUAUCGA